AGCAAAGUGCUCAUAGGGUAAAAUAAUUAAUCAUGGUAAGUUGGUAACAUUAUUAAAAAUCAAUAAUAGGCAACAGCUCAAUGAAAAUGUACCUUCCUUUAUUAGUAUUGUCUUCUACCUUGAGAAAAGGGGAAAAAAAACUUCAUUAAUAUUAAUCCUCAAUAUUCUUGCUGAUCUCCUUACUUGCUGUGCUUAAUUUAGUAAAAUGUAUGCAGCUGGAAGACUUCCAAACCAAAAUAAUGUUUCAUGGAGGGGUGACUCCUGCUUGAAGGAUGAAAUUGUUGGUGGCUACUAUGAUGCUGGCGAUGCAGUCAAGUACACUUUUCCUGCAUCUUUUGCCAUGACCGUAUUGAGUUGGAGCGUGAUCGAAUACAGUGCAAAAUAUGAAGCUGCUGGAGA
rnacentral:misc_RNA from 1 species